UUUAAACGUAAUCUAGUGUAGAUUAAAGUGUUGAAUUAAAUAGACAAAUUUAAUCUAUAUAAGUCUAAAUCUCAAAUAUUAAUAAUAGUUUGUAUUUGUAUGUAUCGAGCAACAAAUUGGUAUAGCUUAAGGGCCCAAGCCAAAUGGUAUGUUUAAUUAGAGGAACAAAACUAACGUAAUUCAGUAUUUUAUUUAAAGUCACUAUUCAAAUUGAAUAUAGGUUUCUGAAAUUAAGCAUUUCUUGAAUUUCAUAAAAGUGUGAAAAAUUCUCGUUUCACUAAAACAAUUGAAAAUAUGAACACAUUUUGGAGAAAAAGCAUUAUCUACUAUUCUACCGAAGAAUUGGAAGAAUGAAAAAAAAAAGAUUUUUGAAGAAUUAUAAGCUUUAAUUUCAAACAAAAAUAGUGCAUAAUCAACAUCCAUACGGAAAUAAUUUCAUGGACAAAUUGAGUCACCAAACAAAACCAACUAGAAUAUGUUUCUAUAUCACAAACAAAACAAUGUUUUUUUCUAGCUUUAAAAAAGUAAUGAAUGAGGUGUUAAACCAACAAUUAUUACUGUUAUUGAUUUCAUAGUUCAUAUUACUAAGGAACACCAUUUGCUUGGAAUAUAUUAACUCUGUCUAUCAAACUUGAAUACUAGGGAAUAAAAGGUAAUCAAUUUGAUAAAUGCUUCAGAAGUGAAAACAAAAAUUUUACACCUGCAAUGUCAAAUAAGCAAUCUCAUCUUCUCUACUAAAAAAGAAGUACAUUUGAAAUUUACUUCUACUUUUUUUUGUCAUCACUCGAAAUUUACCUUUACUAUACUAUGGAAUAUUACUUUUUCUACCACUGAAAUUAUAACUAAUUCUUAGAUCCAUUAUUAAUAGCCUUUUGGUCAUUUUGUUUUUGAUUAUACCAUGACUUAUUUUGCUACAUUAAACUCAUAACAAACGAUGGUCAUUUAACUAAACAUAUGUUAAUAGAUUAUAUUUUGAUUUAUCACAAACCUAUCAAAUACGAUGGUGAAUAAUAUAACAUAUGAAAUAAAAUUCAAAUCACUUAGAAGCUUAUCUAUUAACAUAUCGGUUAAUAGAUUAUAAUAUUGUUUUCUACAUUCUUCAAUGUUAAUAUUUGUUAGAAUAGUAACAUGUUGCGAAAACAAUUCAUUUCGAAAAGAGUAACAUGUAGCAAUUAUUAGUCAUAUAAAAAUAUCCACUGUUCAUUAUUAAAAAAUACUAGGUAGAGAUCCGCGCGAAUUAAAAAAUAAUAAUUUUCGUUAACAUGUUCAUUGAAAAUAAAAAUUUUAAAUGUUGGUGUUUAGUUUUUUAAUAUUGGUUUAUUUUUUAAUAGUACGUUCGAUUAAAAAUAGUGAUUUUGUAGAAGGACAUUUAGAUUUUAUAGUAUGUUAAGGCUUCUAUAUUUUAUAAUGAAAUAUAAUUUAAUGUCUAGUAAUAAAUUAAACAUUUUAUAAACUUCAACCUAAACAUGAAGGACAAAAUGUCUAAAAUGAUGAAUUAUUAAAACUAUAAAUAUUGUAGGCUUCGACACAAAAAAAAAAGUAAUGUGGACUUCAUAAACAAAUUGAAAAAAAAUUGGCCUUAUUAAGAAUAGGCUCAUUACAUUUAAAUAUUAAAAUCAAUUUUUUUUAUUAAAAAUGGAAGAAGCUAAUGCUAUUGGGAUCAUCAGAUGUUUCGAGGGUGUAAAAGAAAACAAAAGAGGAUUGGGGUUCUAAAAAGUUCUGCAAUCGACAGAACAAAAAUCUUCACUUGGUCAUCAACCGAGUAAUCCAGUCUUCAAUUGACAGGAUAACAAAAUUGUUGGAGGUCUUAUCAUGUCCGUAAGAGCUUGAAAAGGAAGGGAAUACACCAAACUAAAAACAGAGGUGGAAAAACAGAAGAAACCGAAGGAUUGAAAUGCAAAAACAAAGGUUAUAUUAUCAAUAGGAGAUGUCGUGUCCAAUCUCAUGUUCAUGUACGGCGAAUGAGAUUAUAAAAUAACAUAGGUUUCGAAUCUAAUGUGUGUCAGCACACCAAAGUUAACAUAUAACUAUGUUAUAUACAUAUUUAUAAGGAUCCCGCAAUUAUAUGUUUUAAGUCAGUCGGGUGGGAAUAAGAUAUGAUAAUCAUGAAUCUGGACCGCGGGUCUGGCCCGUAAAGGACUGUUGCGGAACGGUAUUGGGACGAGGUUUUCUAGGCUCCUAAAUGUACGGGCUUCGCGGGACGGGUUUUUGCGGGACUGGGCCUUUUGCGGGAUGGACCGAAACGGGUCAUGCGGGAUUAAUGAACCCGCAUUUUUUUCUUCAUUUCUUGUUUUACCUGAAAAACGAGAAAGAUAGUGAGAAGAAAACGAUUCUUGUGACUUUUCCCCCAGAAAACAUAAGGAGUUCCGGCGAUGAUGAUUCGAGCUCCGGUGAUAAUGAUUCGAGCUCCGGUGAUAAUGAUUCGAGCUCCGGCGAUGACGACUCCAGCUCCAGCGAUGACGAUUCGAGCUCUGGUGGUGUUUUGAUUUGGUUUUCUCGUUUUAUUACACACAACUAUGAAUUGCUUUAUUACAAUGUGAUAUUUCUUGUUUAAGUUGAUUGGUUUUGUUUUUAGUACUGUGAAGUGGUGUUUUUCUUAAAUUAAAUUUGGUUACAAUGGUGUUGUUUAGGAGAAAAGUUAGUUGUAUAUCACGUACUUGUAUAAUUCAUUAAUUUGGCAAAGUGAUUCACAAAUUUUUUUGCAAUCCAAAUAAUUAAAAAGAGAGAUGGUUUGAUAAAGACAUACAACACUUGAGCCAAAUUAUUACAAAGACAACAACUCAAUCAGAUUCAAACUUAACAAAAACUUAUGCUUAUAACAAAAGAAAGCUUUUAACUCAAGAACACAAGCACAAACUGAGCUUUGUAGCAUUGAUUUUGAUAAGGCUUUAGUGAAGCUUAAUGAGCUCUCUUCAACUCUCUUACACAACUCUUCUACUUAAACAUUCAUGAAAGAAGUUGUAGCAGACGGCUUGAUAAGGAGGUGUCCCGCGGGACGGCCCGGGAAGGCCUAUAUAUUAUGCGGUACGGGUUUGGACCGGCAUCUUGAAGACCGCAGUCCGCGCGAGAUAGGCUCGCUGUGACCCGCUCGACGACUAACCCGCCGCAGAACGGGAUGGGUAAACUUGUUUGACAUCUCUAGUGGCAAUAUUUGUAAAUAGCUUAGAUGGACGUGGAUGUUUUAAAAAGGUUCUGAAAAGGGAUGGUUGUGUGACACGUCAGCUAAAUGGCACCUAUGUAAAUAUCCAUUUGAAGGUUACUAUUUUAUUUUGCUUACCUUUUAAUAAUAAAAGAAUUUUAUAUUAACCGUAAAUAUUAUGGAUCUAACUGGUGAUCAAAGAAUGAAGAGAAACAAUGUAUUCUUUAAUGUUCCUAAUUUUUUUUUACCAUUAUAAGAAAUAUUUUUUUUCAUUUCCAUUACUUCUCAUUCUUUUUAUUCCAGAGUAAUAUAAAAUAAAUUUGUUCUUCACUAAAUUUGAGAAAGAAUAAUCAUUUCCCUUUGUUCCUAUAUUUUAGGCUUUGAAUGGUGACAAAAAAAAAUGACAAAGAACAUUGAAUUUCUUAUUAUUCCUAACACAAAAUCACCAUUCACAAGGAAUAUGUUUUCUUUCUUGUUCUUUCUCAUUCUUUUUUUAAAGAAAUAUAGAAAAAAUUAGGGAAAUUGGUAUGUAUGACCAAGAAAAAAACAUAAUUAGGUACAUAGUCAAAUACCCUAGUUUUUCUAUAUACACAUUCUAUUUUAUGUAAUAAUGCAUUUAUGUCUUUGAAGCUAACCGGUGUAACCUGCUGAGAAAAUAAAAUAAAAAUUCUUAAUCAUUUACUGUCAAGGUACGCGUGAAACACUCUUGACCAUUUAUUCCAUCGUCUACGUCAUCUACUAUCCCAUCAUGUGAUCAUUUCUCAUUAAUUUGUGCACACCGGUAAACUAUUUUUCCAGAUUUCUUUUCUAUGUGCCUCAUGUAGCAUGGAACAUGAACUGCUACGGGUUUUAUUAUGGCACCACUUGUUUCCCUUAACAAAGUAAAACUAACUUUAGUAAUUACAUCUUAUUACGUGGUUCUUGAAAUUUUUUCAUAUGUCAAAUCUGUUAGCAAGUCUUUGCCAUUUAUUCCAUCGAUUAAGUCGUACUCUCUCACACAUGGUGACCUUGUUCCCAAUCACAUACUUUUACCUACUUCAACAGUUUAUUUAUUCUAUGUGAACCAUGUGGAAUGGAACAAAAUAUUAUAAUAUUUCCAUGUUUUGCUAUUUGGAUUGAGGUUUAUAUUUAUAUUUUGAGUUUAGUGAUCAAUGGUUUUGGGUUUAGUAUGGAUGAUUUUGGUUCACUCUGGCAAAAUAGUAGGUAAUUCAUUGUCGGCAUAUAAACAUUGUGGCUUCUUGGAAUGUUUUCAUAUGCCAAAUCUGUUAGCAAGUCUUUGCCAUCUGUUCCAUCGAUUAAGUCAUACUCUCUCACACCUGGUGACCUCGUUCCCAAUCACAUACUUUUACCAACUUCAACAGUUUAUCUAUUCUAUGUGAACCAUGUGGAAUAGAACAAAAUAUUAUACUAUUUCCAUGUUUUGCUAUUUGGAUUGGGGUUUAUAUUUUUGUUUUGGGUUUAGUGAUCAAUGGUUUUGGGUUUAGAAUGGAUGGUUUGGGUUCACUCUGGCAAAUCAGUAGGUAAUUCACUGUCAACAUAUAAACAUUGUGGCUUCUUGUCAUAUGUCAAAUCUGUUAGCAAGUCUUUGCCAUUUAUUCCAUCGAUUAAGUCGUACUCUCUCAGACCUGGUGACUUUGUUUCCAAUCACAUACUUUCACCUACUUCAACAGUUUAUCUAUUCUAUAUGAACCAUGUGGAAUGGAACCAAAUAUUGUAAUAUUUCCAUGUUUUGCUAUUUGGAUUGAGAUUUAUAUUUCUGUUUUGAGUUUAGUGAUCAAUGCUUUUGGGUUUAGUAUAAAUGGUUUGGGUUCACUCUGACAAAUCAGUAAGUAAUUCAGUGUCAUCAUAUAAACAUUAGAAAAUUUGAACAAUUUCCUUCAUCAUGUUUUACCUUUUUCUAAUAUACAUGUGUAUUCUAUAUUAUUUUGGGUAUAUAUAAUAGGAAGUAUACACCACUCACUUUGUAACAUGUGAUUCUCAUGAUGCUACAUGACCAAUGACAUCAUAGACUUUGUAGUAACUGGUAACCUAUUAAGGAAAGAGGCAGAACCGGAUGAAUUGUGUGUUAAAUACCUGACAUUACAUUAUGUCAAACUCAAUGCUAGUUACCUAAUUUAUACACGAUAUAAGGCUAGUUUACAAAUUAAUCCAAAAAAUUAUUUCUCGUUAAAUUUGAGAAGAAACAAUAUUCUUUUUAUCCCUUAUAUACUAAAUCACAAGUCACAUAUCCAAUUAAAUUCUGACACAUAAGAUAUGUUUACAAUUUUUUUAAAAAAAAAUAAUGUUGAAAAACAACCGUAGGAGAAGGAAAAAAAAAAAUUGUAGCAACGGCUUCUAUAAACAAAAUCCACUAAGAGCACUACACACGACCAUCCUUCAUCAACAGUUUUUUAUCUUCUCAGUUCCUAUAAAUUCGAUACACACUUGGAUUUAGCCUGUAAUUACUCAAAACUCAAAAGAGACGCUUCUGUGAUAGGUAAUAUAUUAAACUCAGUUACUCAAAAGAGACGCUUCCGUGAUAGGUUAGUGUCUGAUUUGAAACAACAAUGUCAAAUUGUAACUUUUUGCUUUGUUCUGUAUGAUUUUGUUUUACAGGAGCAUAAGGUUUACAGCAUUACAGAGCAAAUCCCUUAUAUACUAAAUCACAAGUCACAUAUCCAAUUAAAUUCUGACACAUAAGAUAUGUUUACAAUUUUUUUAAAAAAAAAUAAUGUUGAAAAACAACCGUAGGAGAAGGAAAAAAAAAAAUUGUAGCAACGGCUUCUAUAAACAAAAUCCACUAAGAGCACUACACACGACCAUCCUUCAUCAACAGUUUUUUAUCUUCUCAGUUCCUAUAAAUUCGAUACACACUUGGAUUUAGCCUGUAAUUACUCAAAACUCAAAAGAGACGCUUCUGUGAUAGGUAAUAUAUUAAACUCAGUUACUCAAAAGAGACGCUUCCGUGAUAGGUUAGUGUCUGAUUUGAAACAACAAUGUCAAAUUGUAACUUUUUGCUUUGUUCUGUAUGAUUUUGUUUUACAGGAGCAUAAGGUUUACAGCAUUACAGAGCAAAGUAGGAAAGAAAUUGUUGCUGCGAUCAGGAAGAGCUCCUGGUGAUAUAUACAAACCGCCUUGCUCCUUGUGUAUCUUGCAAAUUCUAAUAUUUUACUCUCUUCUUUCGUUUCAUGGCUCUGGCCGAAGCAACUUUGAAAAUUUGGUGGACUGAAUUUUGUAAAAAUUCUGUUAGCCUAUUUUUAAUUCUUUUCUUUCUCUCUCAGUAAGGUUCCGUAAGAAAGAAACUCUUUCAAACGAGCAAUAGAACGUAACGAAGAAGCUAGAAGAGCAAUGGGUAUUGCUGAGAAGAAACUAUUAGAGAAUGAUUGUUAUGGAGCAAGAACAUUCAUUAACCAGGCAAAGAGUUUGUAUACAAAUCUUGAUUGUUUAAAACAAGUACCGACUAUGAUCAAUGUUUUUAUCUCUGCAUCACCCAUAGGAGGAAGAGAAGUAAACAAGAAGUUAUGUCUUUUUCUUCAUCUCGGUCAAGAAAAGGAAAUGAGAAGGACAGGACUCUCAUGUCAAGUUGGUUUUCCUUUAUUUUAUAUAUGCUUACUUUAUAAUUGUAUAGAUAUAUUUGUUUACUUUAGGAAAUAGGAUACAUAUUUUAUAUUUUUCUUAUAUAAAAUGUUACCAA